rnacentral:misc_RNA from 1 species
AGAUGUGUAUAAGAGACAGAGUGAGUCAUCGAAUCUUUGAACGCACAUUGCGCCCAUUAGUAUUCUAACGGGCAUGCCUGUUCGAGCGUCAUUUCAACCCUCAAGCCCUGCUUGGUGUUGGGGCACUAUUUUUUGUAUAGGCCCUGUAACAUAGUGGCGGAUCUGCUGUUAUCCUGAGCGUAGUAAUAUACGUCGCUUUGGGCUUUCAGUGGGCUUCUGCCGUUAAACCCCCACUUUUUUAAGGUUGACCUCGGAUCAGGUAGGAAUACCCGCUGAACUUAAGCAUAUCAAUAAGCGGAG